GUGUGUGUCUGUUAGUGUGUGUGAGUGUGUCUGUUAGUGUGUGUGUCUGUUAGUGAGUUUGUCUGUUAGUGAGUGUGUGUGUGUCUGACUGUUAGUGUGAGUGUGUUUGCCUGUGUGUGUGUCAGUGAGUGUGUGUGUCUGCUAGUGUGUGUCUGCUAGUGAGUGUGUGUCUGUUAGUGAGUGUCUGUUAGUGAGUGUGUGCUUGCCUGUGAGUGUGUGUGUCUGUUAGUGAGUGUGUGUUUC